ensembl:snRNA U6 U6 spliceosomal RNA
GUGCUCACUUAGGCAGUACAUAUACUAAAAUUGGAAUGAUACAGAGAAGAUUAGCAUGGACCCUUCACAAGAAGGACACACAAAUUCGUGAGGCAUUCCAUAUUUGG